AUUAUAUUAGAAAUGAGAAGUUUUACGGUUUUAAUAAUAUCUAUUUUAUUUUUAAAAUUUAAUA
rnacentral:tRNA from 1 species